rnacentral:rRNA from 1 species
AGUGAACGCUGGCGGUAGGCCUAACACAUGCAAGUCGAACGGCAGCACAGAGGAGCUUGCUCCUUGGGUGGCGAGUGGCGGACGGGUGAGGAAUACAUCGGAAUCUACUCUGUCGUGGGGGAUAACGUAGGGAAACUUACGCUAAUACCGCAUACGACCUACGGGUGAAAGCAGGGGACCUUCGGGCCUUGCGCGAUUGAAUGAGCCGAUGUCGGAUUAGCUAGUUGGCGGGGUAAAGGCCCACCAAGGCGACGAUCCGUAGCUGGUCUGAGAGGAUGAUCAGCCGCACUGGAACUGAGACACGGUCCAGACUCCUACGGGAGGCAGCAGUGGAGAAUAUUGGACAAUGGGCGCAAGCCUGAUCCAGCCAUACCGCGUGGGUGAAGGAGGCCUUCGGGUUGUAAAGCCCUUUUGUUGGGAAAGAAAUCCAGCUGGCUAAUACCCGGUUGGGAUGACGGUACCCAAAGAAUAAGCACCGGCUAACUUCGUGCCAGCCGCCGCCGUAA